AUUGAACGCUGGCGGCAGGCCUAACACAUGCAAGUCGAGCGAGAAAACUCCUUCGGGAGUGAGUAGAGCGGCGGACGGGUGAGUAACGCGUAGGAAUCUACCUGGUAGUGGGGGACAACAGUUGGAAACAGCUGCUAAUACCGCAUACGCCCUAUGGGGGAAAGCGGGGGAUCUUCGGACCUCGCGCUAUCGGAUGAGCCUGCGUUGGAUUAGCUUGUUGGUGAGGUAAAAGCUCACCAAGGCGACGAUCCAUAGCUGGUCUGAGAGGAUGAUCAGCCACACCGGGACUGAGACACGGCCCGGACUCCUACGGGAGGCAGCAGUGGGGAAUAUUGCGCAAUGGGCGGAAGCCUGACGCAGCCAUGCCGCGUGUGUGAAGAAGGCCUUAGGGUUGUAAAGCACUUUCAAUUGGGAAGAAAAGCUCAUGGUUAAUAACCAUGAGCCCUGACAUUACCUUUAGAAGAAGCACCGGCUAACUCCG
rnacentral:rRNA from 1 species